CGGGUGAGUAACGCGUGAGGAACCGUCGUCCGUUGGGUAGGUAGGGGGAAAGUAAACUAAGUUAAGUAAAUAGCUGCUAAUACCGCAUAAUGCAACUAAGUCGCAUGGCUUUGGUUGCCAAAGAUUUAUCGCUCUAAGAUGGCCUCGCGUCUGAUUAGAUAGUUGGCGGGGUAACGGCCCACCAAGUCGACGAUCAGUAGCCGGACUGAGAGGUUGGCCGGCCACAUUGGGACUGAGACACGGCCCAGACUCCUACGGAAGGCAGCAG
rnacentral:rRNA from 1 species